rnacentral:rRNA from 1 species
UACGGGGGGGGGCAAGCGUUGUUCGGAAUUACUGGGGCGUAAAGGGCGCGUAGGCGGGCCCGCAAGUCAGGGGUGAAAUCCCACGGCUCAACCGUGAAGUGCCUUUGAUACUGUGGGUCUUGAGGGAGGUAGGGCGUGCGGAACUUCCGGUGGAGCGGUGAAAUGCGUAGAUAUCGGAAGGAACACCGGGUGGCGAAAGCGGCGCGCUGGACCUCUUACUGACGCUGAGGCGCGAAAGCCAGGGGAGCAAACGGG